rnacentral:tRNA from 1 species
AAGAUUUUAAGUUAAACAAAACUAUUAUCCUUCAAAGUUAAAAAUAAACUAAUUAUUUAAAUCUUA